rnacentral:rRNA from 1 species
GACGAACGCUGGCGGCGUGCUUAACACAUGCAAGUCGAACGGAAAGGCCCUGCUUUUGUGGGGUGCUCGAGUGGCGAACGGGUGAGUAACACGUGAGUAACCUGCCCUCGACUUUGGGAUAACUUCAGGAAACUGGGGCUAAUACCGGAUAGGAGCUCCUGCUGCAUGGUGGGGGUUGGAAAGUUUCGGCGGUGGGGGAUGGACUCGCGGGUUAUCAGCUUGUUGGUGGGGUUGUGGCUUACCAAGGCUUUGACGGGUAGCCGGCCUGAGAGGGUGACCGGCCACAUUGGGACUGAGGUACGGCCCAGACUCCUACGGGAGGCAGCAGUGGGGAGUAUUGCACAAUGGGCGGAAGCCUGAUGCAGCAACGCCGCGUGCGGGAUGACGGCCUUCGGGUUGUAAACCGCUUUCGCCUGUGACGAAGCGUGAGUGACGGUAAUGGGUAAAGAAGCACCGGCUAACUACGUG